rnacentral:rRNA from 1 species
AUUGAACGCUGGCGGCAGGCCUAACACAUGCAAGUCGAACGGUAACAGGAAACAGCUUGCUGUUUCGCUGACGAGUGGCGGACGGGUGAGUAAUGUCUGGGAAACUGCCUGAUGGAGGGGGAUAACUACUGGAAACGGUAGCUAAUACCGCAUAACGUCGCAAGACCAAAGAGGGGGACCUUCGGGCCUCCUGCCAUCGGAUGUGCCCAGAUGGGAUUAGCUAGUAGGUGGGGUAACGGCUAACCUAGGCGACGAUCCCUAGCUGGUCUGAGAGGAUGACCAGCCACACUGGAACUGAGACACGGUCCAGACUCCUACGGGAGGCAGCAGUGGGGAAUAUUGCACAAUGGGCGCAAGCCUGAUGCAGCCAUGCCGCGUGUAUGAAGAAGGCCUUCGGGUUGUAAAGUACUUUCAGCGGGGAGGAAGGGAGUAAAGUUAAUACCUUUGCUCAUUGACGUUACCCGCAGAAGAAGCACCGGCUAACUCCGUGCCAGCAGCCGCGGUAA